GGGGAUCUAGAGUGUGCGAGAGGUAUGCGGAAUGCGUGGUGUAGCGGUGAAAUGCAUAGAUAUCACGCAGAACCCCGAUUGCGAAGGCAGCAUACCGGUGCACAACUGACGCUCAGGCACGAAAGCGUGGGUAUCGAACAGGAUUAGAUACCCUGGUAGUCCACGCAGUAAACGAUGAAUGCUACCUGUUUGGCCAGAUUGAAGGCUGAGCGGGACAGCGAAAGCGUUAAGCAUUCCACCUGGGGAGUACGCCGGCAACGGUGAAACUCAAAGGAAUUGACGGGGGCCCGCACAAGCGGAGGAACAUGUGGUUUAAUUCGAUGAUACGCGAGGAACCUUACCCGGGCUCAAACGCAUAAUGACGACAGUUGAAAGAUUGUUUCCCUUCGGGGCAUUAUGCGAGGUGCUGCAUGGUUGUCGUCAGCUCGUGCCGUGAGGUGUCGGCUUAAGUGCCAUAACGAGCGCAACCCCUAUCGACAGUUGCUAACGAGUCGAGUCGAGGACUCUGUCGAGACUGCCGGCGCAAGCUGUGAGGAAGGCGGGGAUGACGUCAAAUCAGCACGGCCCUUACGUCCGGGGCGACACACGUGUUACAAUGGCAGGGACAGCGGGAAGCCACCAAGCGAUUGGGCGCGGAACCCGAAACCCUGUCUCAGUUCGGAUUGGAGUCUGCAACUCGACUCCAUGAAGCUGGAUUCGCUAGUAAUCGCGCAUCAGCCAUGGCGCGGUGAAUACGUUCCCGGGCCUUGUACACACCGCCCGUCAAGCCAUGGGAGUCGGGAGUGCCUGAAGUUCGUGACCGUAUAGGAGCGACCUAGGGCAAGACUGAUGACUGGGGCUAAGUCGUAACAAGGUAACCGUAA
rnacentral:rRNA from 1 species